UCUCGAUAGCGUAAGAGUUAACUCAAAUUUGUAUGAAUUUGGAACAUUUGCCUACGUUUGCCGCUAGGGGCGCUGUUCCAACUGCAUACAAUUCUGAGUUAACUUUUACGCUAUCGA
rnacentral:pre_miRNA from 9 species